GGAGCUCAAGAAGGAGCUGGCCCAGGCGGAGGAUGAGCUGGACGAGGCCCACAACCAGGCGCGGAAGCUGCAGCGGUCGCUGGACGAGCAGACGGAGCAAAGCGAGAACCUGCAAGUGCAGCUGGAGCACCUGCAAUCCAGGUGGGCCCCAGCAGCCGGGGUGGUGGGGACCCGGGUUCCUGCGGGGAGAGGGUUCACGGCUGGGGCACAGAAGCAGGGCGGGGAGUCCUCCAAGGAAACCUCCCUGUGAGGGUCGAGGAGGAGACGGAGGAGGAGACCUGGGCAAACCAGGCAGGAUCCUGUCGCUCCAGGCAGGAAGGGCCGGGGCCAGGAAUCCAGGAAAGGGAGGGAAGCAGAAGUCAGACCA
rnacentral:lncRNA from 1 species